rnacentral:misc_RNA from 1 species
GUAGGUGAACCUGCGGAAGGGUCAUUAACACGUUUGAAAACGUUUCUUAUGAACCAUUUCAAUUUUCUGUGCACCCCUCGAAACCGGCCUCCUGAGCCGUCCUCCGGGUUUACUCGGUGUGACGUGUUUGGGCGUCUUUGGGAGUCACAAAACUCGGCGGCGGGAGAACUUGAGCCUCCUCUUUGUGGGAGACUUUUGAGAACUCUGCUGCUGUUGUUUUGCCUGAAGGCGUUGCCACAACCACAACCCUUUAACCUGUAUGUCUGAACUCUGAAGUUGGCGAACUUUACCGUUUGCCAGCGACUUUAAAAAUCAAUAACAACUCUUAACAACGGAUAUCUUGGUUCUC